rnacentral:rRNA from 1 species
AUACGUAGGUGACAAGCGUUAAUCGGAUUUACUGGGCGUAAAGCGCGCGUAGGUGGCUAAUUAAGUCAAAUGUGAAAUCCCCGAGCUUAACUUGGGAAUUGCAUUCGAUACUGGUUAGCUAGAGUAUGGGAGAGGAUGGUAGAAUUCCAGGUGUAGCGGUGAAAUGCGUAGAGAUCUGGAGGAAUACCGAUGGCGAAGGCAGCCAUCUGGCCUAAUACUGACACUGAGUUGCGAAAGCAUGGGGAGCAAACAGGAUUAGAUACCCUGGUAGUCCAUGCCGUAAACGAUGUCUACUAGCCGUUGGGGCCCUUGAGGCUUUAGUGGCGCAGCUAACGCGAUAAGUAGACCGCCUGGGGAGUACGGUCGCAAGACUAAAACUCAAAUG